CCCAUAUUAUGGUGGAUAUAGUUCCCUUUAUUUUGCUUGAUUUGAAGGACAUUAUUCAAAGAUGCUCCCCACUGCUCAGUGGAUGGAUGGAUGGAUGGAUGGGACGGGUGUGUCUGUGCAGUGGGUGUAGCUGUGGCCGCUACUGGGAGGGGCUGGUUCUCCUGUGAGCAGGCAAGCUGCUCAUCACAGGAGGCACGUUACGUCAGCUGGGAGGGAGCCACUCUGGAUUUCUGACUUCAUUUUCACCUUCCUCUUUCCUGCUCUCAGUUCUGAUCUCUGCGGAAGGAGUUCUAUGAGGCUGUCUCUUCACCCAGGCUCUUAGGGAUGGAGCUCUUAUCCACGCCUGGGAGUAGCAGCUAAAGGGGGCAGCUGCCAAUCUCCAGCCUCUGAGGAUAGGCCUGGCUCAGGCGUGCAGAGACUGACAUCUUCAGCCUCACCAUAUGGGUAACAAGGUUGAUGAGGAGUUUAGAUGCUAACAUGCUGUCAGAAUUUCUGGGACUAUUCUAUACUCUGUGAGACCAAAAGGACAGAAUAUUGGAACUCAGUGAUUCACCCAGGGAUCAUCAGAGACAGCCAUCCGGGGAAGAUGCCAUUGUUUUUCUCCAGCUUUGAAGGGGUUGUACAACCUUGCACUGAUUUGUGCUUAGAAGCCUCCGCACUUUCCCCUUGCAGUUGUCCCCAGAAUUUAGGGAAGACUAUAUCGUGCCUGGUUUGACAUUAAAUCCUUUUCCC
rnacentral:lncRNA from 1 species